GCCAUUCUGUGAUUCUAUGACAUUGUUUGGCAGUGUCACACAAGGUGUCCCUGCCACUGAAGCUCUCUGCUCCUGACCUCUGCACCCAGGCCAGCCUCUCACUGGAGUCCUGCCUUGGCCUGCUCCCCACCUUGCUCCAAUGGCAGGCCUCUUGCAGGGACAUCUGGCAGAUACCCUGCAGCUGGGGUCAGGUUCCUGCUCUGCAGAUCAAGGACACCUUUCCUCAUCUACCCCUGCUGCACAGAAGGAGUAAUGAUGCCAGAGCAGGGCACAGAAACAAAAUCAGGGCCAUAUGUUGUAUUUGUUCCAGCGACUGUGUGGCUCACAUUGCAGAACAAGGCACACAGAGCUACAUAUGGCAAAGGAACAGGAGGCAGCAGAGCAACCACAGAGUGCAGGAUGCUCCUGGCAAUUUGCAAAGUGCUGUGAGCAGGAUAUGCCAAGAAUUCUAUAUCUAAACAUCCACCAAAUGUCCUCUGUCUCUGUAAAAGUCUCCAGGCCCCUUACCCUGAAAGCUAGGAAACUUUUUUUAUGCAUAACUACAUCAGAAUUGUCCUUGUGCAAACCUGGGCCUUUUGACUGAUAGGAGGAAACUGCCCAGACAGUUCCUUGGAGUGAAUCUCCUUUUCUCUGCCUUUGCCCUAGACCUGUAGUCACCAAGACAGACAUCCUAUCUGCUAUCGAAGGCUGAAACUGCAUCCUCUACUUGUCUUUUUGGCAGUCUCAUUACACCAAGCCCUCCCUGACAUGGCUUUCAGCCAGGGGGGAUUCACUCUUAUCUGAGUGAGUGUUGUCUGGAGGAAUGCAAGAUAGAAAGCACUGAGCAGAACCAUAUUCACCCUGCUGCUCUGCAUUGCACUUAGAAAGCUGUCUUCAGCAUUGCUAUUAGUCAUGCUCACAUGCAGUGCUCUUUUCAGAUUUUUUGAAGAAUUGCACUGAAUUAAUAAUACCUACUUUCAUAAUGGCUUUCAGGCUGAGCUUUCAAAAUGUUUACACAUGGAAGAUGAGCACUGAUGGGUAACUUGCAGAUGACUCAGUCAUUUAGUGGCAAAGCAGAAACAGAACUGGAGUUUCCUAUUUAGCACACCCUGAUACAGGGGGCAAAAUGCUGCCCUGGGGUUUGGCUUGCCCGUAUGCACGAUGUAAGAAAAGUGAUUCGUGGAAGGUGAUAGUUUACAUGGUGUGACAACUGUUGGGGUAGAUUUUGGGGAUCAGACCUAUUUUUUCAUUUCAUAUCCGUCUAGAACCCAACACACUGUGUCUUUCUGUUUCCAAUGAGCUGUUAGUGAUAACAGUAUCAGAAUUCAGAGCAGCCUCUGCAUUUUCUGACCAAAUAUUUCUUCUGUAGAUUAAAUAUCUAAUCAUAAUAAAAGUGAAUAAAGAUGCAUUCUGCAUGGAGCAAAGGUAAGAUCUGCACUAUCAGCCUUGGAUGAAAGACAAAAAUUAUUACCUACUCUUUUGGUAGGCUGAACUGUAAUACCACCAAGCACAGCCAGGAACUGCAGUAUAUUCAAAUAUCCAGAGGAUAGCUGUAGGGUUGUGUGUGUGCAUCUUGUUAAAUGCUGCCUGACAGGAGAGAAUGUUUUCUUUACUCGACUGGGAGAAAUAGUAUCUCGAGUGCCGCUUACAUUUAUUUAACUAGGACAGGGAAAUGUAAGCAGUGCAGGCCAUGAAUCCAUGUGUCUGGGAACUAUAGAGCAAAUGAAUGAGCUGUAACAAGAGUGGGAGGAAGAGUUGUUUUCUUACAGCAGCAGACUGCAAGAUGCAGGCUAUAGAUGUUUUGUCCGACAGAGUUGGGGAGUGCUUGCCGACAUCUUGAGUGGGAUUCAUGUACGGCACAGACACAAGGAGCUAGCUACCUUCUGUUGUAGUCAACUGAGAAAAACAGUGAUUCCUACGCAGCACCCUUAAAAUAGACAUCCACGUUGACUUGGGAGAGGCUGGUUUGCGUGGCAGCCUGCUGCAUUGUCCCUGUGGGAUUUUUCAUUUGUACUGAAAGACUGCCAGUUUUCCCUGAGGAAGGAGCGGGCUGUUUCUCACCAGAAGUCCUUCUAAACUGUGUGAGACAGAAGCAGGCAUGUGGGGGAAGGCAUCAGACUAAAGGAAGUCCUUGAGAUAUUUCUGACUUGGGAAGGUCUUGGACCUUAUGACCAUCCAAGCUGAUGAAAUGUUAGUUCACUCUUGAGCCUGAAUUUGGAGUGAGAUGGCCAGUUGACAUCUAGUGGUUGGGAGGGACCCCCAGAAGUCACCAUGCCCCUCACAUUACUGUUGACACACUGAACUGAUAUGUUGUACAGCAGUACCUGCAGUUGGAACUGAAGCCCAAUAAUGCCCCUAAAUCAUUUUGAUAUUUCCCUGUUAUUUAUAUACAUGACAUUUUGGUGUGUAGAUAUCUUUCAGAAGGAUUUGUCAAGGAACAGGUGUGAAUCCUGUGGAAGAGCAGAGAUUUGAACAAAGUAUCUGAAGCUUCAGCCUGUGCCGACCAAAGAGCCCUGCAAGGUGGGAACAUUAAUAGUACCAAAACAUGAAGGAUCACGGAACAAGGUUUUUCUUUGUCUCCAGCAAGCUGCAGGCUUAUCUUCCCUCCCCUCCUGGUUUGCCUAGAGAUAAGUGAGAUCACCACACAGGGAAGGCAGUGGGAUCUACUACAGUUAGGCAUUAUAUUAAGUUGG